rnacentral:rRNA from 1 species
GAUGAACGCUGGCGGCGUGCCUAAUACAUGCAAGUCGAGCGAACGGACGAGAAGCUUGCUUCUCUGAUGUUAGCGGCGGACGGGUGAGUAACACGUGGAUAACCUACCUAUAAGACUGGGAUAACUUCGGGAAACCGGAGCUAAUACCGGAUAAUAUUUUGAACCGCAUGGUUCAAAAGUGAAAGACGGUCUUGCUGUCACUUAUAGAUGGAUCCGCGCUGCAUUAGCUAGUUGGUAAGGUAACGGCUUACCAAGGCAACGAUGCAUAGCCGACCUGAGAGGGUGAUCGGCCACACUGUAACUGAGACACGGCCCAGACUCCUACGGGAGGCAGCAGUAGGGAAUCUUCCGCAAUGGGCGAAAGCCUGACGGAGCACCGCCGCGUGAGUGAUGAAGGUCUUCGGAUCGUAAAACUCUGUUGUUAGUGAAGAACAUAUGUGUAAGUAACUGUGCACAUCUUGACGGUACCUAAUCAGAAAGCCCCGGCUAACUACGUG